AGCUUUGCGCAGUGGCAGUAUCGGAGCCAAUGAGGUUUAUCCACGGAGCGUUUAUUGCUAAUCAAAACACGGAUUCCAGCCCACAUUGCUGUGGGUGAAUCUCAACUCUGCUACCUACUAGU
rnacentral:snRNA from 1 species